rnacentral:sRNA from 1 species
AGAAGUUAAAAGUUUUGUGUUUGUCCUGGAAGGCAGCAGCCAAACAAACAAAAUUCAGUUACCAAAGGAGAAUAAGCAAAUCCUUGGAUUGAUCCAGAGGUUUCUUGUACUUCAGAUUUACGUACCCCUGGGACAAGACUUCUCCACUGAAUUGCUGUUACAGGAGGUUUUUGAUGGUGAAAAUCAAGCCUGUAUUACAAGUGUAGAGCUGUUUUACAAGCAGCCUCCUUGCAGCAACUAAAUUGCCCCCAAAAAAGCACAUAAGUGUAAUGAAGCUUUUAAGUAGUCACACAUAUGCAUUUAUAUUCUCUCUCUCAUGAAUGACUAAUUUUAAUUUUUUUAAAGUAGCAAUUCAGCUUGCUUUUAGAACCAUUUAAGCUUAGCACAUGAUUUUGUUUUCCCCCCAAAGCCAACUAUUCUUGAUUAUGAGAUAGGGGAAGGUUUGCAUAUUUAUUUUUGCAAAGACAGUAGCAUAAACCCUCAUCACCAUA